rnacentral:rRNA from 1 species
UACGGAAGGCAGCAGUGGGGAAUAUUGCACAAUGGGCGCAAGCCUGAUGCAGCCAUGCCGCGUGUAUGAAAAAGGCCUUCGGGUUGUAAACCUCUUUCAGUAGGAAGAAGCCGGCCUUUUCGGGGUUGGUGACGGUACCUGCAGAAGAAGCGCCGGCUAACUACGUGCCAGCAGCCGCGGUAAUACGUAGGGCGCAAGCGUUAUCCGGAAUUAUUGGGCGUAAAGAGCUCGUAGGCGGUUUUGUCGCGUCUGCCGUGAAAGUCCGGGGCUUUAACCCCGGAUCUGCGGUGGGUCGGGCAGACUAGAGUGCAGUAGGGGAGACUGGGAAUUCCUGGUGUAGCGGUGAAAUGCGCAGAUAUCAGGAGGAACACCGAUGGCGAAAGGCAGGUCUCUGGGCUGGUAACUGACGCUGAGGAGCGAAAAGCAUGGGGAGCGAAACAGGGAUUAGAUACC